rnacentral:tRNA from 1 species
AGCGGGAUGGAGCAGAUGGUAGCUCGUCGGGCUCAUAACCCGAAGGUCGUCGGUUCAAAUCCGACUCCCGCAACCA